rnacentral:rRNA from 1 species
AGCGAACGCUGGCGGCAGGCUUAACACAUGCAAGUCGAGCGGGCAUCUUCGGAUGUCAGCGGCAGACGGGUGAGUAACACGUGGGAACGUACCCUUCGGUUCGGAACAACUCUGGGAAACUGGAGCUAAUACCGGAUACGCCCUUAUGGGGAAAGGUUUACUGCCGAAGGAUCGGCCCGCGUCUGAUUAGCUAGUUGGUGGGGUAACGGCCUACCAAGGCGACGAUCAGUAGCUGGUCUGAGAGGAUGAUCAGCCACACUGGGACUGAGACACGGCCCAGACUCCUACGGGAGGCAGCAGUGGGGAAUAUUGGACAAUGGGCGCAAGCCUGAUCCAGCCAUGCCGCGUGAGUGAUGAAGGCCUUAGGGUUGUAAAGCUCUUUUGUCCGGGACGAUAAUGACGGUACCGGAAGAAUAAGCCCCGGCUAACUUCGU